CAGCAACCCUUGCUUUAGAGGCAAACCGUGUUCAAGUCCAGCCACGCAGGUGUGCAAUCUGUGGAAGUACCCUUAGAGGGAAGCCCCCAGUUUCCCCUCUCUGAGCAGGCUCUGGACCUGUGCCCAACUUUCUACGGGUCAUGCUCAGAAGUCACAUAGAUUUUUCUUAUUCAACUGCAUUUAUUUAAUAUGGAAGUUUUCAAAACAAGGGGUCGGCAGGUGGAAGAGUGAGGAGGUUAGGAGGUCUGGGCCCAAUAGGUUUAAGGCCCUUCUCACUCUGAGGAGUCCCCAUGCUUGGCUGACCUCAGUAAAGACUGGCUGAGGGUCUUCCUGGGGAGGCCUGGUGGGAGCCCCUUGUCCCCACCCCAAGGAUAGCUAUGAAGCGGGAAAGGGUGUCCCCCAGGCCUGGCUGCCCCGGAGAGCAGCAUCUGACUCGCAUUCCCAGAGCUCCUUCCUCCCCAGAGCAUGUUCUUCCCAGGCGCUGAAAACUAUCACUUUUUGGCAGUGUCCUCUCCCAACUCUCCCUUAUUCCCUCGAGACCCCUACCACUGCCUACCACCACCACCAUGUCCUCGCACCGUGAGAGACUGCCAAGCGUCCGGCUGUCCUUCUGAGGACAUAUGAGGGCCCAUGAGAUAAUGUCAGCCCUUCUACAAGCCAGAGGGUGGGGAGGGGGAUCAAACGCCAGCCAGCCAGCCCAGCUCCACGGAUCUGCAUUCAGACUAAUGCAGGGGCGGCCCCAGACUCCAGCGUGGGAUGUGCCGCCGCUGAAUACACACACGGAUGUGCCUGAACGUGAUGCGGGUGAUGCAGGCUUCCCAUGGUGAAAGCUUCUCAAACCUGGAGCCCCCGUGGCAGCCCCUGAGCCCCUCCAAGCCCCCCAUUUCCGAGAUGACAAGCUCUGCUCAGCCUCAGCAUUCCCAGAGGCCGGCCUCUCAGGCAGCAGACAGGUCAGUGGUGGGCAUGGUCCCUGAAGGGCAGCUGUGCCAUGAGAACCAGGGGUGGAGAAGCAUUCUGGUCACAGCCUCAGAGAGCUUCUGGGAUGAGGCGAAACUCCGGUCAGUGACUAACAGGUAGGGCUUUGUGGGAAGAAGUUCCAGCACCAGCAGGAGCUCCAAAGCAGGAGGGCUCAGAGUAUGUUAGGGGACAGUAGAGGCCCCGAGGCCCACCUGUGUAGUUCAUGGGUGUCUAGGACAAGACCCUGCAGUACAAGGUCUCGGCCCUGGGCCCCUGGCACUGCCUGCUUACUGUCAGGAGUGGGAGCUUACUGUCAGGAGAGACCCAGGUCUGAUGCUGGAAGGCCCUGAACCUUCAUGCUCCCUGGCCAGUCCCUGCACCAGGACACUGACCUGUAUCUGCAGCUGGGCUUGCGGCAUAGCCCACGGGAGCAGCCAUCCCAGGGCUGCUAGGGUGCAAGGUGGGCAUAACGUAGGCAGCAGGGUCCCGUCAGCAGGGCUGCCACAGGUGCAGAGAGGCGUCGGGGCGUCCUGGCAUCAGUCCCUUCCCAGGAGCGGAGCCAGGGCCCCUCACACCCAAGCAGACCGGCAGUGCUCUGCGGUCAGAGCACCUGGGCCAGGUUGUUAGAGAAAGUUCCUAGAAGGUGGGCUCCAAGCCGGGGGCUGCAGGAUGCGGAGGCCCGGAGCUGACACUAGGGGGCAGGGUGGAGCGGCGGGGACGGCAUCCCGGAGGAGGAGGGCGCCGCCGGAGCGAGCCGGGGCGCAGCAGGGAGGGCGUCGUGGGCGCGGCGGAGGUGGAGGCAGGGCUCGGGGCAGGAGGAGCAGAGCCGGGUUUUGCGCUGCCGGGGGCCCCCGUUCCCGCGGGGCGCCCCAGGUUCCUGCGCCGGGAGAGGCCCACGGGACGGCGGGAGCCUUUCCAAGCACAGCAGCCUGCAGGCGCCCGCGGCGACCCACUUUCCCUCCCGCCAGCCCCGCCCCGGGCCUAGAAUAACGCGGCGGCUGCCCAGCAGGUUUCUCUCUGGUUCUUUCUCAGCAGCUGUUGGUUACUGUCCAUGUAUGGGGACUCGUGGUUCAUCUCAUUUCUAAAAAA